rnacentral:rRNA from 2 species
GAAGCACCGGCUAACUCCGUGCCAGCAGCCGCGGUAAUACGGAGGGUGCAAGCGUUAAUCGGAAUUACUGGGCGUAAAGCGCACGCAGGCGGUCUGUCAAGUCGGAUGUGAAAUCCCCGGGCUCAACCUGGGAACUGCAUUCGAAACUGGCAGGCUAGAGUCUUGUAGAGGGGGGUAGAAUUCCAGGUGUAGCGGUGAAAUGCGUAGAGAUCUGGAGGAAUACCGGUGGCGAAGGCGGCCCCCUGGACAAAGACUGACGCUCAGGUGCGAAAGCGUGGGGAGCAAACAGGAUU